GACUUUAUAUUCAUUAAUGAUUUUAGACUGCAAUUCUAAAGGAGUGGUUAUUCACUAAGGUCU
rnacentral:tRNA from 2 species